UUACCUUCUGAUCUUUCAAUGAAGACUAUCAACAGUGAAUUUUGGAGAUGCAUUUGAAAGAUGACAAGAGCUCAAAAGGAUUUUUAGAUGGAUGCCAAGUUGGCUCAUUUUCAGGACCAGGACCCUCUUGUACCACUAGGACCUGCACUCUCUCCUCUCCUCCUCCUCUCUCUGUUACUCUAUCUCUAGCUCGUCCUCUCCGCCCUCUGCCUCUUGUAUCAGCAGCAUCAGACCACUGGCUUCACUUGACACUGAUCAGGGCACUUCAUAACUGACUGAGUUCUGCAUUAGGCUGCAACAAGGAAGAACAGUAGGCUACUACUCCGAAAUAGAUGUGAAAUGUUUUAUACGUUAUCUGUUAAGUUGAGUAAUAUGUUAUCAGGGCCUGGAAAGAAGUAAUUCCAACUCCAGUGUGGAGCCUAUUUUUGGAGCAGUGGGC
ensembl:lncRNA